UACGUAGGGUGCGAGCGUUAAUCGGAAUUACUGGGCGUAAAGCGUGCGCAGGCGGUUCGUUAAGUCAGAUGUGAAAUCCCCGGGCUUAACCUGGGAACUGCAUUUGUGACUGCAUGGCUGGAGUGCGGCAGAGGGGGAUGGAAUUCCGCGUGUAGCAGUGAAAUUCGUAGAUAUUCGCAAGAACACCAGUGGCGAAGGCGGCUCACUGGCCCGAUACUGACGCUGAGGCACGAAAGCGUGGGGAGCAAACAGG
rnacentral:rRNA from 1 species